AGUGAACGCUGGCGGUAGGCCUAACACAUGCAAGUCGAACGGCAGCACAGUAAGAGCUUGCUCUUACGGGUGGCGAGUGGCGGACGGGUGAGGAAUACAUCGGAAUCUACUUUUUCGUGGGGGAUAACGUAGGGAAACUUACGCUAAUACCGCAUACGACCUACGGGUGAAAGCAGGGGAUCUUCGGACCUUGCGCGAUUGAAUGAGCCGAUGUCGGAUUAGCUAGUUGGCGGGGUAAAGGCCCACCAAGGCGACGAUCCGUAGCUGGUCUGAGAGGAUGAUGAGGCACACUGGAACUGAGACACGGUCCAGACUCCUACGGGAGGCAGCAGUGGGGAAUAUUGGACAAUGGGCGCAAGCCUGAUCCAGCCAUACCGCGUGGGUGAAGAAGGCCUUCGGGUUGUAAAGCCCUUUUGUUGGGAAAGAAAAGCAGCAGGUUAAUACCCCGCUGUUCUGACGGUACCCAAAGAAUAAGCACGGGCUAACUUCGUG
rnacentral:rRNA from 1 species